ACGAGUUAUUGAACAGGUUGUAUAGCUGGCCUCUUCUCAGAGGUAUGUGCACGCCUGGCUCAUCCACUCUUCAACCUCUGUGCACCUGUUGUAGGUUGGCGGAAGGGCAAGUCUUUGAUUUGUGAUGAUAUAUUAUCAUUGGUCGGAACUUGCUUGGAAGCCUUCCUAUGUCCUUUUUACAAACGCUUCAGUUUAAGAAUGUGUCUCUGCGUAUAACGCAUUUAUAUA
rnacentral:misc_RNA from 1 species